rnacentral:rRNA from 1 species
AGUGAACGCUGGCGGUAGGCCUAACACAUGCAAGUCGAACGGCAGCACAGUAAGAGCUUGCUCUUACGGGUGGCGAGUGGCGGACGGGUGAGGAAUACAUCGGAAUCUACUUUUUCGUGGGGGAUAACGUAGGGAAACUUACGCUAAUACCGCAUACGACCUACGGGUGAAAGCAGGGGACCUUCGGACCUUGCGCGAUUGAAUGAGCCGAUGUCGGAUUAGCUAGUUGGCGGGGUAAAGGCCCACCAAGGCGACGAUCCGUAGCUGGUCUGAGAGGAUGGUCAGCCACACUGGAACUGAGACACGGUCCAGACUCCUACGGGAGGCAGCAGUGGGGAAUAUUGGACAAUGGGCGCAAGCCUGAUCCAGCCAUACCGCGUGGGUGAAGAAGGCCUUCGAGUUGUAAAGCCCUUUUGUUGGGAAAGAAAAGCAGCAGGUUAAUACCCCGCUGUUCUGACGGUACCCAAAGAAUAAGCACCGGCUAACUUCGUG